UGGUCCAAAUUCUUACUUUACAUGUUUUGCCACAUCAUUUAUACAUGACAUGACAUUUAUCCUACAUGAAUCAUGAAUAGGUCGAAGAUCUAAAGUCUUUGUGCAGAAAACUAUCUGUACAUUUUUUUUUUCUUUCAUAUUCUUUUUUAUGGAAUUACUUGCCGGGUGAAGAAAAUUUGCUCUGAAAAAAGGAAGAUCAAGAUCAGCAGCGGAGGAACCAUGUUGAUAGACACUUUCUUUAUGAGAGGCAAUCACUUCGAAUUGAAGUACUGAUCACUCACUUUCCAACUUAAAGGAUUUUCCAUAUAUAGAAAGAAUUAAUUAACCAUGAUGGAAAGUGGGGAAAACGAUGGCUUGAAGAUGAAAUCUUCAGACGAGGAAGGAGAUGAUGAAAGUUAUAAGAGCAAAAACAGUGCAAGCUCGAGCAACAGCAUAGUUGAGGAGAGUGAGAAGAAGGCCAGCUCUAGUACUGGGGUGCGGCCAUAUGUACGAUCCAAGGUGCCCAGACUAAGAUGGACUCCUGAUCUUCAUCUUUGUUUUGUACAGGCGGUAGAGAGACUAGGGGGUCAAGAGAGAGCAACUCCUAAAUUGGUUUUGCAACUAAUGAACAUCAAGGGCCUUAGCAUUGCUCAUGUCAAAAGCCAUUUACAGAUGUAUCGAACCAAGAAGAUUGAUGAUCAGGGUCGAGUUAUAACCAGUAGAGGAGAUCUUAUGGGAAGUACAGAUCACCAUUGCCAAAACCUUUGGAAACGGUACUCCAUGCUUCAAAGUAUUGAUCCAAGGGUUAGCCCCAAAUUCAGAUAUGGCGACUUUUCUUGGAAUGGUCAAGGGAGCUGGAUAUCCUGCAAGCCUUAUGUGACUGAUCAUAACACCAAUAUUAGAACAGGAGAUACCCUUUAUGGGUCAGUAGCUGAUCAAAGGGUUUCUGAAGGUAUCGAUUUGAACAAAAGGAAUAUUGGGGCUUUCAACAUGAAUAACAUUAACAUUGCCUUCUCUAAACAAAGUAGUAGCAAGAGAAAACUAAAAGAGUUCCAGGAAGAAUUUCAAUGGUUGUUCAAUCACAAUUCUAUCAAAACCCAGACAAAGUCCAGGCCUAUAGAACCCUCUUUCAAUACUGAAUUAUUGCAUGGAAGAGGAAGGGAGAGAACCGGUGGAGAAGAGCAAAACGUGGGGAAAAGGAAAGUUUUGCACGAUGAAAUUGAUUUGAGUCUGUCAUUGAGCAUAAGAUCAAGACAAGAGGAAGAUAAGAGAAUAUCAUGGAUUGAGGGAGAAGUGGAUAGCAGUACUUUAUCGCUUUCUUGUUCUUCUUCUUCAAAGAAGGGAAACUAUUCUAUAGAUCUCAACAUGCCAUCAAAGCUUAGCAGGUUGACAGAUGAUAAUAAUGGAAAAAAAUCCGAAAUUGGCGAGUACCCUUGAUCUGACUCUAUGAAUUAGAGAAUUCUAGUGAGAUCCUGUUGGUACUUGUACAAGAGGAUACGUAGAUUGUUAUUGUUACAGCUGAAAUAUGAUCAGGUCGGAAUAAAGUGUAUCAUCAAGGUGGUGUUAUGGCAAGGUUUGGGCCUGAAGUAAUGUGCUGAUCGAUCAGUAACUACCUAGCCUGGCCUUGGUAAGUAAUAGAUUGUUAUACAUGAAGAGAGCCCAUGAUGUUAUUCGGUGUUAAAAGCGGAUUGGGAUUCUCUGCAAUUAAUUGUUUGAAUUGCAUGUAAAUUUGGGCAAUCCCAUAAAGAGAGGAUGUGAGACCCACCUAU